rnacentral:rRNA from 1 species
GACUCCUACGGGAGGCAGCAGUGGGGAAUAUUGGACAAUGGGCGAAAGCCUGAUCCAGCCGUGCCGCGUGUGUGAAGAAGGUCUUCGGAUUGUAAAGCACUUUAAGUUGGGAGGAAGGGCAGUAAGUUAAUACCUUGCUGUUUUGACGUUACCAACAGAAUAAGCACCGGCUAACUUCGUGCCAGCAGCCGCGGUAAUACGA